UACGGGGGGGGCAAGCGUUGUUCGGAAUUACUGGGCGUAAAGGGCUUGUAGGUGGCCAACUAAGUCAGACGUGAAAUCCCUCGGCUUAACCGGGGAACUGCGUCUGAGACUGGUGAGCUUGAGUGCAGGAGAGGAACGCGGAAUUCCAGGUGUAGCGGUGAAAUGCGUAGAUAUCUGGAGGAACACCGGUGGCGAAGGCGGCGUUCUGGACUGCAACUGACACUGAUGAACGAAAGCCAGGGGAGCAAACGGG
rnacentral:rRNA from 1 species